rnacentral:rRNA from 1 species
CUGGUCCUACGGGAGGCAGCAGUAGGGAAUCUUCCAUAAUGGGCGAAAGCCUGAUGGAGCAACGCCGUGUGGGUGAAGAAGGUCUUCGGAUCGUAAAACCCUGUUGUUAGAGAAGAAAGUGCGUGAGAGUAACUGUUCACGUUUCGACGGUAUCUAACCAGAAAGCCACGGCUAACUACGUGCCAGCAGCCGCAGUAAUACGUAGGUGGCAAGCGUUAUCCGGAUUUAUUGGGCGUAAAGGGAACGCAGGCGGUCUUUUAAGUCUGAUGUGAAAGCCUUCGGCUUAACCGGAGUAGGGCAUUGGG